rnacentral:rRNA from 1 species
UCGAGAAUCUUCGGCAAUGGGCGCAAGCCUGACCGAGCGACGCCGCGUGCGGGAUGAAGGCCUUCGGGUUGUAAACCGCUGUCAGAGGGGAGGAAAUGCGUGGGAGUUCUCUUUCACGUUUGACCUAUCCUCAGAGGAAGUACGGGCUAAGUUCGUGCCAGCAGCCGCGGUAAUACGAACCGUACGAACGUUAUUCGGAUUCACUGGGCUUAAAGCGUGCGUAGGCGGCUGGGAAAGUUGGGUGUGAAAUCCCUCGGCUCAACCGAGGAAUUGCGCCCAAAACUACCUGGCUUGAGGAAGAUAGAGGUAAGCGGAACUAAUGGUGGAGCGGUGAAAUGCGUUGAUAUCAUUAGGAACACCUGUGGCGAAAGCAGCUUACUGGGUCUUUACUGACGCUGAUGCACGAAAGCUAGGGGAGCGAACG